rnacentral:rRNA from 1 species
UACGGAGGGUGCAAGCGUUAUCCGGAUUCACUGGGUUUAAAGGGUGCGUAGGAGGGUAGGUAAGUCAGUGGUGAAAUCUUCGAGCUUAACUCGGAAACUGCCGUUGAUACUAUCUAUCUUGAAUACCGUGGAGGUAAGCGGAAUAUGUCAUGUAGCGGUGAAAUGCUUAGAUAUGACAUAGAACACCAAUAGCGAAGGCAGCUUGCUACACAAAUUAUCGACACUGAGGCUCGAAAGCGUGGGGAUCAAACAGG